AAGUGUCGGGAUUACAGGCGUGAGCCACCACACCUCCCGCACGACCCUGGCACUGUUAAUUUUUUUUUUUUGUUAAACAAAUUUCAGCUUCUUAGAUGGGCUUUCAGGGCUACAGAAAUCGCUCACGUUUUACACCCGCUUACGUAAGUGUGUGUGCGCUGGAGCAGGUGUACACAGGCAUGCUGACUUGGUGCAGGCGUUUCGGGGGGGUAUUAGCUACACAGCAUUUCUCAACCUUUUGGAGGCUGGGGUUAUUUGGCUCUGAAACCUGUUCCCUGGGUCGUGCCCUCUUGUGGAUCCAGGAGAGCAGGGACAUUUGCCUGUGCGUUCACUGCCGUAUUCUUGCUGUCUGGAGCAGUGCCUGACCUGUGGCGGGUGCUUAGUGAGUUAUCCGUGGAAUGAAUGAAUGAGUGAAUGAAUGAGCCAGCCAGAACCGUGCUGGCCGUUGACUGAAAAUGUCUGGAUUCAAUUGACUGAAUCAAACAGACUUAGAGCUUGAGAGGGAAAAAUUAUUUCACUUAGAAAAUAAAAGUUAUUUCUGCAGGACUAGACAUGAAAGGAAAAAAAAAAGAAAAAAGAAAAAAGUUCUACCUUUGCCCCCGCGGUUCUCAGGUUUCACCUGCCGUGGUGAAAUACGCUGUAGGUCACAUGCGUAGGUUUGGCCGCUGGCCGUCCAGUAGUCCUCCCACCCCGGGGGACGGGUGCGGGGGGUGACCCGGUGAAGAGGGCAGGGAGCUGGGGCAGCCUGCUGUGCGGAGCGGGGGGAGGAGGAGGGAGCCCUGGGGGACAGACAGAAGGACCAUCGAAGGAGAAACCCUGCUGGCCUCGGGACCUGGAGGAAAGAACCAGGGCCCGUGCUCCUUGGGCCAGGAUCCAGCGAUCGGACAGAACCUCUCGGAUUCCCCAGUGCCGUGAAAUCCACUUGGGGCCAUCAUACCCUUCGUUGCUGUGCUCCCUGGCAGAACUCGAAUGCAGCGUGAGCUGGGCACUUUUCCCAGGGUUUGCUCUAGGUCUGGGUCUCCCAUCAGCUCCCCCGGAGCAGAGCCUGAGGCAAGGAUUCUUGUUCGGGGGCGUCUUCCUCUCAGCACUGUGCUUUGGGAAUCGAGUGAUGGUGCUGAGUGAACCCCUGAGUGAACAUCUGUGGCUUCCUCCCACCUCGUCUCUGGAUGCACUCCUGUUCGAAUGGGUGUCUGUACGUGCUUGUCCCCUCCGCAUGGUGGCGUGCUCAAUGGUGGCUCCCCACAGAUAUGUCCGUGUCCUAAUUCCCGGAGCCUUUGGGUCUCAUAUAGCCAAUGAUGUGAAAAAGUGAAGGAUGCUGAGAGGAGAUCAUCCAGAUGUCUUAGAGGAUAAAAAUGAGCGGGCAGAUGAAGAGAUACUCAGGGUGAGGUUCGGAAGGUGCACCAGGCGAACCCCAUGGAUGUGGCUCAGAGAGCCUGGGAAACAUGAGGUCUGUGACCUGGAUCAGGCCCAGAGAGACCUGAGCAGGAGGCGUGUGAAGCCCCUGCGCCUGUGUGAGGAGGGAAGCUGUUUCGGGGAAUUUGCCUUUCUUUCCCUGUAGUUUCAGACUAGCUGAUAAAUUACCUAAAAUGUUGCCACAAGAUGCACAAUGUAACCAUCACUCAUUAUCUUCAUGUUCCUGGAAUUUUUUUUUUUUUUUUUUUGAGAUAGAGUGUAGCCUCAUGGCAGCCUCAACCUCCCGGGCUCAAGUUGUCAGAGGCGUGUGAACCAGAGCAACUCCAUCUUGAAUGGGGCUGGGUAAAAUGAAGCUGAGACCUGUGGGGCUGCAUUCCCAGACCGUUGUGGCAUUCUGAGUCACAGGAUGAGACAGGAGGUCAGCACAAGAUACAGGUCAUAAAGACCUCGCUGAUAAAACAGAUUGCAGCAAAGGAGCCGUCCAAAUCCCACCAAAACCAAGAUGGUGACAAGAGUGACCUCUGGCCGUCCUCACUGCCACACUCCCACCAGCCGUGACAGUUUACAGAUGCCAUGGCAACGUCAGGAAGUCACCAUAUAUGGUCUAAAAAGGGGAGGUAUGAAUAAUCCACCCCUUGUUUAGCAUAUCAUCAAGAAAUAACCACAAAAACGGAGAAGCAGCAGUCCUCAGGGCUGCUUUGUCUAUGGAGUAGCCAUUCUUUUUUUUUUUUUCGAGAUGGAGUCUCGCUCUGUUGCCUGGGCUGGAGUGCGGUGGCAUGAUCUUGGCUCACUGCAACCUCUGCCUCCUGGGUUUAAGCGAUUCUCCUGCCUCAGCCGAGCUGAGUAGCUGGGCUUACAGGCACCCACCACCACGCCCGGCUAAUUUUUUCUAUUUUUAGUAGAGCCAGGGUUUCAUUAUACUAGCCAGGCUGGUCUCGAACUCCUGACCUCAUGACCUGCCUGCCUCAGCUUCCCAAAGUACUGGGAUUACAGGUGUGAGCCACCGUGCCCAGCCAGAGUAGCCAUUCUUUACUCCUUUACUUUCCUAAUAAACUUGCUUUCACUUUUACUCUGUGAACUUGCCCUGAAUUCUUUCUUGUGAGAGAUCCAAGAACCCUCUCUUGGGGUCUGGAUUGGCACCCCUUUCCUGUAACAAAGCCAUUCUCCCACCUUAGCCUCCCAAAUAGCUAAGACUACGGGUGUGUGCCACCGUGCCUGGCUAAUUUUUAAUUUUUUUUUUUAAGAGAUAGGGUCUCCAGCCUGACCAACAUGGCAAAACCCUGUCUCUACUAAAAAUACAAACAAAUGAGCUGGGCAUGGGGGCGGGUGCUUGUAGUCCCAGCUAGUUGGGAGGCUGAGGCAGGAGAAUUGAUUGAACCCGGGAGGCAGAGGUUGCAGUGAGCUGAGAUUGCACCAUUGCACUCCAGCCUGGGCACAGUGAGACUCCGUCUCAAAAA